AAACUUUCAACAACGGAUCUCUUGGCUCUAGCAUCGAUGAAGAACGCAGCGAAAUGCGAUAAGUAAUGUGAAUUGCAGAAUUCAGUGAAUCAUCGAAUCUUUGAACGCACAUUGCGCCUGGCAGUAUUCUGCCAGGCAUGCCUGUCCGAGCGUCAUUUCACCACUCAAGCUCUGCUUGGUGUUGGAGGACCCGCGUUU
rnacentral:rRNA from 1 species